GACGAACGCUGGCGGCGUGCUUAACACAUGCAAGUCGAACGGAAAGGCCUCUUUUGGGGGGUACUCGAGUGGCGAACGGGUGAGUAACACGUGAGUAAUCUGCCCUUGACUUUGGGAUAACUUUAGGAAACUGGGGCUAAUACCGGAUAGGAGCUCCUGCUGCAUGGUGGGGGUUGGAAAGUUUGGGCGGUUGGGGAUGGGCUCGCGGCUUAUCAGCUUGUUGGUGGGGUAGUGGCUUACCAAGGCUUUGACGGGUAGCCGGCCUGAGAGGGUGACCGGCCACAUUGGGACUGAGAUACGGCCCAGACUCCUACGGGAGGCAGCAGUGGGGAAUAUUGCACAAUGGGUGGAAGCCUGAUGCAGCGACGCCGUGUGCGGGAUGACGGCCUUCGGGUUGUAAACCGCUUUCGCUCAGGACGAAGCUUUGUGUGACGGUAGUGGGUAAAGAAGCACCGGCUAACUACGUG
rnacentral:rRNA from 1 species